AGGCGCAGCGAGUGUGAUACCUA
rnacentral:siRNA from 1 species